CGUGAGUCACAGAACUGUCAUACACGUGUUUUAAAAAGGACACCGAUACCACAGAAGGACAACAUUCCAUAACUCACAAACAGAUAAUAUGUUUUUUUGAAUCAUUGGACGUUUUGCGAUAAAGCCGCGACAAGACUGUUUUAAUUGGAUAUACAGAUCAGGCAGUGGGACACAGACCAAUAUCACUGGAAUGUGAGUACAGCACAAGGUACCACAAGUUCAUGUCCAAGGGCGUAGUUUUCGGCCCUCGGAUGGUAGCCCAGGGUGGAGACGGGGAAGACAAAACUCGGGGGUGAAGUUUUCGACGACAGCAGCCAUGUUUAUGGAACAGAUCGAAAAGGACCUGUUGGCAGUUUUCUGAUUGGCCUAAGCAGUUGCAGAACGGCCGUCGUCAUCGCAGGGCUGGAUUCGUGUCUUGUUUUCACCCUGGGAAGCUUGUAAUCAGAUAUGAGGAUACUCUUUGUGACGUUUGGCUGUAUUCUAGAAUGGGAUUUUCAAUCAUCAUGACCUUCAUGCCUGACUUCUUCAACUUCAGUGGCCCAACACCACAAGAGUCAGCCAUGGCUAUGUCAGUUACAGGAAUAGGAAGUCUUAUAGCACGUGUUCUUGUAGGUGUUCUGACAAACGAUCAUCGCAUCGGAUCAGUGCUUGUGCUGGCAGGAAACUGCGGGCUAUCAGCCAUCCUAACUCUAAUUCUUCCAUUCAUUGUUCACUCGACUGAAGGACGAUACAUCUACUCCAUCUGCAUUGUUCAAGUAAGAAAUCUGACCAACUCCAACUACGCAGCGUUUGUUUGCAGCACAUGAACAGACGGAACUGCUCAGACCAGCACAGGAUAAAAAGGUAAUAUUAAAUUAGGUGAGUUAAAUGGUUAUAAUCUCUAUCUUGCGUUGCAUUGAAAUAAUACAGUAUGUUUAAAAUGUUAUAUUAAGUAAACUAAAUGUAUGUUAUCUAAUAUAAAUGUUGAUUAUGUCUAAUUAUUUAAAUCUGCAUAAGAUAAGCUAAACAACUAAACUUUAUCACUAGAAUACAUUCUAUCACUUCAAUUAAAUAUGUGUGAAAGUGUUUACUUCAAGAAUGUUUUAAAAAGCUUUAUAAUGUACCGAUUCAGAGGUGAUACAUGCGAAUCAUUGUAAAUAAAAUGUGUGUAUUACUUAAUGUUAAAUAGUUUUUUAGUUUAUGCAUUAUAUAUUCAGAUCAUCUAUGGUGUUGCCAUACGUGUGGCAUUUGGGAUACACACCCUUGUAUCAUCCAAAGGGGUGUCUGAUAUCUUAGAUCCUUGAUCUUUGGCAUCUGCAAUAAGACCUCAACCCGUAGCAUGUGUUUGUUGAUUCGUAAAAGACAUACACUAAACUGCUACAAAAGGAUAAGCGUGGUGAAUUGAAGUCAGUUUUAACUAACUGAAUAUAUAUCUGGACUUACGUUGAAUGCUCUGGUUUUGCCAUCAGUGUCCCGUUCGAAGCAAAUUUUGUGGCAUUCUUUCGUGAUCGGUGUUUGUUCAUGAAUAAACAUACACGUCUGCACGACCAGAUCGCUCAAAGUGAACAGUUCCGAUACAAACCAUUUACAAAAUCCGUGGAAGUGGGCAUGACUUCUGAUUUUGUGGCCCAGAACAAUCCAAAUGCGAACAAUAACAUUCCCUAGCGUAAAACGCUGUGAGUAGAUCACGGUUGUCUUUUCUUAUUCCGAUGGUGACCUUGACCUUCGUUCGAAGCUGUCACUGACAUGCAAGCAGACUUCGGUUUGUUGAUUUUGACGUUUUCAGAAUCGGGUCGUACAGUUAACAUGAACAUCUUUGGCGAGCACUCUGAUUUCCCUCUUCCAUAACGGUACGGACAGGACAUAUAUUCAGCUGAUAGAUCAAGGAAACCGCAAAAAUUUAAUUGCACAGCCGGGAACCCCGGCGGUGCGAGUGACCGCACGGUGCCAAUUGACUUUUAAAAUUUUCUUAUAUGUGUCAUGCGUACGAACAACAAUGAGCUUGAAUUACCAUAAGUUGAAUAAAUUCUUAAAAUAGGAUCUUGAGCGUCGAAGCUGUCAUGUUUGCACACACAACAGCAAGAACAUGUUGUUAAUGCGUAUGCAUAGAAAUGUCAACAAUGCCCGUAUUUCGGCAUAUAUCAAUAUUCAUGCGCAACCAGAUUUGCAACUGGUUUUAGUUUGAUCUGUCAACGAAAGAAAGUUUUUAUGUUUUUACACAUAAAUACAUAUUUUGACAUGGGUAAUAAACAAAAUACCACACUAA